UACGAAGGGGGCUAGCGUUGCUCGGAAUUACUGGGCGUAAAGCGCACGUAGGCGGCUCUUUAAGUCGGAGGUGAAAUCCUGGAGCUCAACUCCAGAACUGCCUUCGAUACUGAAGAGCUCGAGUCCGGGAGAGGUGAGUGGAACUGCGAGUGUGGAGGUGAAAUUCGUAGAUAUUCGCAAGAACACCAGUGGCGAAGGCGGCUCACUGGCCCGGUACUGACGCUGAGGUGCGAAAGCGUGGGGAGCAAACAGG
rnacentral:rRNA from 1 species